UACGGAGGGUGCAAGCGUUAUCCGGAUUCACUGGGUUUAAAGGGUGCGUAGGCGGGCAAGUAAGUCCGUGGUGAAAUCUCUGAGCUUAACUCAGAAACUGCCAUGGAUACUAUUUGUCUUGAAUAUUGUGGAGGUAAGCGGAAUAUGUCAUGUAGCGGUGAAAUGCUUAGAUAUGACAUAGAACACCAAUUGCGAAGGCAGCUUACUACACAGUUAUUGACGCUGAGGCACGAAAGCGUGGGGAGCAAACAGG
rnacentral:rRNA from 1 species